AGAGCAGAAGGAAGAACCACGGUAUUAAACUCAUCUGUUCUUAUGAUUCUGAUAGUCUUGCUUCGCUGUUCCAUGUGUGGUCAUGUUCAUUCACUAAUGCUGUCGAUCAGUUAUGUCAGUCAAAUCUCUGACAGUGUUGCAUUGUGAGCAUUAAGGCAAAGUGUGCGGGGUUUUGGUCUGACGGGAACAUCUCUAAAAUCUGUAGAAGUCUUGGGUUUAAAGUUUAUCUGAGGUCAUCCCUUCUCUACUUUUGAAUCAAAAUGGAAAGCUUUCAUGUGUUCAUCAGCCUUUGAAUGGAUGUCUCUUCUGCUGCACCUUCUCCGCUUUAACUGCUCAACCUUUAACUUUGUCUUUUUUAUGAUUUUUAAAGGGCGAGUGGGCAGUUGUGGCUUUCUUUUAGCAACUAGUGACUGUUUAUAGAACCAAAAGCAAAAUUGAUCUCGCUGUGCGUUUGUCUUUUUACCACCGUAGUCUAACAGCUGAAAUGUCUCCCCAGCCUUCAUUAGUGUCUGCAGGAGUGAUUCACAACUAAAUUAAACAAAGCAGCUGAGUUCAUGACCUAAAACAUGCAGGAAGCAGACUGCAGCACCAACAGAGCGGUCUGCCACUCUGAAGUUGCAAGUGGAAUUUUCGGGCCACUGGGCGAUAGGGGCUGGGUGGCUUUUCUUAGCACGCACUGGCUCAAGAAAACGAUUUAAAAAUAUGAAAAAGUUGCAAAGUAUCCCUUUAAAUCUGAACUUAAUGUGUGUGUUUAAUUUGGUCUAAAUGUAUUUGUGUAUUUUCAUUGUGCUGUCACAUUGAUUUUAAUGUUCAUGCUAUUCUCACUAAUGGAAAACACACUGAAUGAAGUGUGCUAUUCAAACACAGCUGCCUUGCCUUGCCUAAAGUUUUGCAUGACAUAUUUCUCAAUCUUUUGCUCACUUUGUGAAAAUUUCAUCAUAUUUGUGCUGUUUUAUUUACUUUUUCUCCAAAUGACACCUGUUAAAAAAGACUAACAUGAUGAUCUCUCCCAUCUCACCCAACAUGCCUGUUCCACAUCCCAAAGCAGCAAACAGGAUGUACCAACUAGGAGACCCAUCGGCUCAGCCACAGUUGUAGCUGUCAUCCAGCUACUUGGCUGUCGAGCAAAUAUGUGUCCUCAAACCACAUUUCAACUCUGUGGAAGCUGCUGACACUCUGAGUUUGUGCGGAAUACACUUGAUCUACAACGGAAGACGCAAACAAAUAAAAAGCCGGCCAAACGUUUUGAGUCAGUAAACUCCAUGACCUUCCAUACAAGGGAUAAAGCACUGAGACAAGAUGUCCAGCCUGAAGGUUUUAAUGUUGGGAGAAGUCAGCCAGAGACUUUAAUAAUCAUUAAGAGUUAUCAAACCCUUGUUUAACUACUUUGGCACCCCACCUUUUAGUCCAUUUAUCUUACUGAAGGAGGCACUGAACGUAGUGAAUAAAAAAUCAUGGCAUUGCAUUACUUUCCAACCCAUAUGUUCCCAGUUUAGGAAAGAUGAUUCGAAAGUGCUAGUGCCACGUUUGAUGUUCCGGUGGGUCAAAAAAAACGUGCUUUUUCCUAUUUUUUAAAAAUUCAACAUUUUGUAUAUUGAUUUGUUUUAUUUUAUCUCCACAUAACAGAUCCAAAAUAGGCAUACUAGUGAGAAUCUGAACAAUGAAAUGUUCGAAACUGUUGAUACACAUCAGCAGCUUACUGGGGAGCCAUAACUCGUGAUUUUAGAAAUGCAACUGAAGGCCACGCAAAAUCAGAAGGAGCCCCUGAGCUUCACUUUGGACACUCCUGAACUACAGGAUUAAAGUGACAGUGUGUAUUUUUCCUGGUGAUACGGGGCAGUAGACACUUAAAUCGUUGCAAGCAAGCAGUAUUUUUCUGUUGGCGUAAGACCUUACCAGUGGAUGCCCAUGAGGGUCAAAAAGCCCUAGGGAGUGCAAACUUCUGCAACAUAACAAGUACAUCAGACUCCCUUUCAUCACUGGCAACAAGUGGAGGUAAAUGUGUAAAACAACAACAUUUAAGAAUGGCGAAAGUUUUGGAACCGUUACAAAUCAUUUAGAGCUGAAACAACUAAUCGAUUUAAUCGAUUAUAAUCGAUUAUUAAAAUAGUUAACAACUUUUUUAGUCAUCGAUUAGUUGUUUAAUAAUCAUAUUUUACCGCAUAAAGUCUAUUUUUACCACAAUCUGACAUCGGUUACAAGCUGUUAAAUUUGCCGCCAGUGUGUGGCAGUAAUGAGCCACUGAUCUACCAGUGGAGCCGUAGAAGAAGAAAUGAGCCAAUGAGUGCCCUCGGUUUUCAUGACGUAUCACGUUACUGACGCUCAUCUUGCUGUGAGAGAUGGCGGAACAAGAGGAAAUACAGAAGAAAAAUAGAAGCGACAAAACUGAAGAGAAACCCCGGACAAAAACCUCACGAGUAUGGGAGCACUUCACUCUAGAUGCCUUGAAAAGACGGGUGACCUGCAAAAUAUGCAAAAACCAUCUAGCAUGGCACAGAAGCACGACGUCCCUAAGUGAACAUUUGAGACAAAAGCAUGUGGGGGCUGAUACAGCAGAGGAAGCGCACCGCGGUCAAGUGAGCCGUCAUUUGGAAGAGCCAGCCCGAAAAAAAACAAGCAACGAUGGACAACUACAUGGGGAACAAGACACUCACCCCCCAGCAAUUCAUACCACUUACAAACUCUAUUCUAAACAUGCUGGUAAAAGACAUGAGGCCACUAUCCAUGGUGGAAGGAGCAGGCUUCCAGCUAAUGCUAAAAAAUUAUUCUGGACUGAUAUUUUGCACUGUUUAGCUCAUUUUAUACUGCUGACUGUGUUCAUGUGCAAUAAAAUAGAUUGCAGUCAACU